UGUGGUGGUAUGCCGUAAAGCGUUUUCUGCCAGCGUUGUCUUAUAAAUACUCUCCAGACGCAUUGAACGGUCUCAUUUCGUCAGUCUUCAGGAUGGGUGUGGUAAGGUAGCAUGCUGACAUGCUCUGUCCACGGUGCUGCUAAAUGCAGUAAUGAAGGAAAUGACAGGCCCCCAUUUGGCUAUCUUGAGUUGAGCAAGAACUCUGUGCGCCAGCAGCUCUUCCAUGUGGGAAAAGCUUAAUAUGAAGAUGUUUAAUUCAAGAUCAAGCUCGGCUUCAAGGAGCAACUGAGUUGCCCUGAAUACCCAAGAGUUCCUGAGCGUGUGGUCAUUCGCCGAGUCAUGGUCUACCAAAUGGCCACAGGGUGGCUCAAGCCCUGAUGCAGAGCGGCCCGUUGGCCUGUUGUAUCAUGUGCCAAGGGCUCUGAGAGGGUAAUGAAUUAAGUACACCAGGACUGGUCUUUUGAUGAUCCAGUACACCAGAAUUUGGCUGAAUGAUACAUCUCUGGUGAAGGUUGUGCAUCCCUGGCCAACAAAUGAUCAGUCAGGUGAUCUGUUUCAGCCCUGCAUGCACCUAUCAAGUUAAGAGGUGUUUGAAGAAAUUAACAAGAUGAAUGCCUUCAAGAUUAAAUUUAGAAUGCAUUUGAAGAUGUAGCUCAAUCUGACCUGUUGAGCUUCUGAUAAUUUCAAUCAAAUAUUUGGUUUUGUAAUUUGAUUACUUCCUACUCUCCUGGAAAAGGGACAUGGCAAGUGUUGGGUUCAUGACCUGAAAUUGAAGAUCCCCUGAAUUUUCCCAUAUGCACAAAGCUUAGUUCUCCAAUUUGUGUGCACAUUUGUUUACGUCCCAGUUAGUUUCUCCUUUGCCAAGAUAAUCCAGACAUUAGAGAAGUGAGGCAUAUCAAGAAACUGAUUACAGGUGCAUCUUGAGCUGAUGCAAAGCUUUUUGGUGGGGGAAACCAAUUCUGAUUGGUUCCUUGGUGUGGGCCCUGAUCAGUUGACACCUAUAGGUUGGGACUUUAUUUCAUCAGGUAAAAUGACUCCAAUUACAUUUAAAUUUCCAGUAGGGAUGUUUGGCACAGCCCUCGCACCCACUAAGAAGGUGGAUUUCAGUACUAGGUUUGAAGGUGUUCAGUGUUUUGCAUAAAUUGUGGUUGUGCUUUAUCAAUGCAAUGUUAGUGCCUAGUGUUUCCAUGGGGGGGUGGGUGAUCUUCACAGGGGAGAAGGUGGAAAGGAACUGACUAUUAAAGGUCUGUUAGGGCAGCAUUUAUGUCUGCCUUGCAUAAACGUGGCCAAAGUUCACUCCUGCUAAUGCAUAUUUGCACAUGGGUCUGUUACUGGUGGUUGGAGGUGUGUUACAAUAUGGUUUGGUGCGUGUCAGCCCUACUGGUUCAAAAUGUCAUGUGGGUCACAAGAUUAAAGGAUGCCCUUCAGUGAGCAGAGCCUAA